ACGGAUAAGGAGCUUGCUCCUUUGAAGUUAGCGGCGGACGGGUGAGUAACACGUGGGUAACCUACCUAUAAGACUGGAAUAACUUCGGGAAACCGGAGCUAAUGCCGGAUAACAUUUGGAACCGCAUGGUUCUAAAGURAAAGAUGGUUUUGCUAUCACUUAUAGAUGGACCCGCGCCGUAUUAGCUAGUUGGUAAGGUAACGGCUUACCAAGGCAACGAUACGUAGCCGACCUGAGAGGGUGAUCGGCCACACUGGAACUGAGACACGGUCCAGACUCCUACGGGAGGCAGCAGUAGGGAAUCUUCCGCAAUGGACGAAAGUCUGACGGAGCAACGCCGCGUGAGUGAUGAAGGUUUUCGGAUCGUAAAACUCUGUUAUUAGGGAAGAACAAAUGUGUAAGUAACUGUGCACAUCUU
rnacentral:rRNA from 1 species